AUCUGGCCUGUCAUUUACUACAGUCGCUGUCCAGGACAGGAACGUCUCAUCUGAGUGCUGUAUGAAGAAACUUUUGGUCAAUUUCUUUGAUGGACAAAGCAGCAUUACAACACUUGGAUUUCCCUGAAUCCACAUUACACAAGAAAAAGUUGACUGUCUCCAUGGUUGUGAAAAAGAAAGACAAGCUUGCCAAGAGGUCAUGAAGAAAGCAGAGAAGAGAGCACCAGUGAAGAGUGGCAAAAGAAGGAGAAAGUCCAGGAAAUAAAGUUACAACAUUAACAUCAGCAAAGAGAUGAAAGAGGUUUGCACCAACACCGGCAUCACCUCCAAAGCCAUGAGUAUCAUGAACUUGUUUAUCAACAGUAUGUCCAAAUGCACCACAGGAUAUGCUUCCCUCCUGGCCAAUUACAGAAAUGCAGACUGAACAUACAUCCACGAAUGAAGUUGUUUAUCAUGUAUGCUAAAUUGUGUGAAUCCAAGGAAAGUAAUGGGACCAAACGGAGUACCAGGCUGUGCAAUCAGAGCAUACGCAGAUCAACUGGCAGAGGUCUUCUCAGACAUUUUCAACCUCUCCCUGCAGCAGGCCACUGUCUCUACUUGUUUCAAGAGGGCCAACAUCAUCCUUGUACCUAAGAAGGCUCAUGCAGCAUGUCUCAAUGACUACCAUCCACUGGCUCUAACUUUGGUGGUCUUGACGUGCUUUGAAAGGUGGUCAUGGUAUUAAUCAACUCCAGCCUCCCCACCAUCUUGACCCACUCCAAUUUGCCUAUCUGACCAACAGAUCCCCGUCAGAUGAAUGUCAUUUGCCCUUCACUCCUCUCAGGAACGUCUUGACACCAAGAACAGCUACAUAAGAAUCCUACUCAUUGACUAUAGUUCAGCCUUCAACACGAUUAUCCCCUCAAGACUAAUGAUUAAACUUAGUAAUCUCAGAUUCAGCUCCACUCUCUGCAACUGGAUCCUCAGUUUCCUGACCCACCAGCGACAAUUAGUGAAGACUGGGGACAAUAUUUCAUCCUCACUAACAUUCAACACUGGAGCCCGCCCCCCCUCCCCCACCCCACCCCCAGGGGUGCGUACUCAGUCUCCUACUGUACUCACUGUAUACCCAUGCCUGCUUCAUCAAGUACCAGACUAAUGCCAUUUACCAAGUUCGCUGAUGACAUCACCAUAAUUGGUUGAAUCUCAGAUGGCGACAAAACAGACUACAGAUGGAAAAAUGGUGUACUGAGAACAACCAAGCUCUCAAUGCUAGCAAAACCAAGGAUCUCAUUAUUGACUUUCAGCGGGAUGUUACUCAUGCCCCCUUAUACAUUAACAACACAGAGGUGGAACGAGCAGACAGUGUCAAGCUCCUGGGAGUGGUCAUCAACAACAAGCUUUUUUGGACUCUUCAUGUGGAUGCACUGGUUACAAAGGCCCAGCAACAUCUCUUCCUCCUCAGGCAACUGAGAAAAUUUGACAUGACGGCAAAUACCCUUGCCACCUUUUACAGGUGUGUCAUUGAGAGCAUUUUUUCUGGAUGUAUCACUAUCUGGUAUGGCAACUAUACUAUUCAAGAUCCGAGAUGGUUACAGAGUGUGGUGAACUCAGCCUGGGCAAUCACAAAGGCCAACCUUCAGAAUCCAUCUAUCAGGUCCACUGUCAAGGAAAGGCUGACAGCAUUCUCAAAGAUCCAUCCCACCCUGGCAAUGUUUUUCUACAGCCUCUACCAUCAAGAAGAAGGUACAGAAGCCUGAACACAUGCACCAGCUGGUUUCAAAACAAUUUCUACCCUACCGUUGUUAGAAUACUGAAUGGACUCAAACUCUUAGCAUUUUCCU